GUACGGGAGGCAGCAGUUAGGAAUCUUGGGCAAUGGGCGCAAGCCUGACCCAGCCAUGCCGCGUGUGUGAAGAAGGCCUUCGGGUUGUAAAGCACUUUCAGCGGUGGAGAAAAGCUCAGGGCUAACAUCCUUGAGUCUUGACGUUAACCACAGAAGAAGCACCGGCUAACUCCGUGCCAGCAGCCGCGGUAAUACGGAGGGUGCGAACGUUAAUCGGAAUCACUGGGCGUAAAGCGCGCGUAGGCGGUCUGUUAAGUGGGAUGUGAAAUCCCCGGGCUUAACCUGGGAAUUGCAUUUCAAACUGGCAGACUAGAGUGCGGUAGAGGGAGGUAGAAUUUCCUGUGUAGCGGUGAAAUGCGUAGAUAUAGGAAGGAAUACCAGUGGCGAAGGCGGCCUCCUGGAUCGACACUGACGCUGAGGCGCGAAAGCGUGGGGAGCAAACAGGAUUAGAUACCCCGGUA
rnacentral:rRNA from 1 species